AUUAAUUACAGAAUACCAUGUGAUAAGCAUUUCUAAUAUUCAACUUUGAAAUAGUAGUUAAACAAAACCUGAGGUUUUUUAAGUAACAAGUACUCAGGAGUCUUAAAGCUAAGCUCAUUUGAAGGGAUACUCCUAAGGAGCUAGUUUCACUUCAGUAGCUGAUGAUCAGAAUGUUGUGCUAUUACCUAGCCUGACCAGCCUAGGUUCACAUGGUCAGAUCUUAAGAGACAGGUUUUCCUCCUUUUCCUUGAUGUUAGGCACUAUGCAUUUAUUUAAACUCUGCAUGCCCCGACCUUUAGGCUGACUGCAGCAGCAUCUCCUGAAAGAAUCAACCAUGGCAAACAUGAAUGAAUUACUUAUAGAUGUAUUUCUGUGGGGUAGGUGCUAGGAAGCCUUACAAUAGUUUCAAUAGCCUUUUUCUUCAAUAAAAAUAUAGUGGAAUUUUGAAGGUCUUUGAAGGGAAGAAGGAAAAGGAGACAUUAUUUCCUCUAAGGAUUAGAUGAUCUUGUAUGUUUAGAGGGACUUGUGUCAGCUUUGAAGAAAUGAAGUUCUAGUGUACUGUCUUUAUUUUACUUUUUUUAAUAAAUGAAAAUGAGAUCUGAUAUAGAUUGGAUUGCAUCUUAUGGGGCCCUCUGUAGAAUGUAAACCCUGGAUUCCGUUGUUGCUGUCCUCAAUUUGUGGAUGAGGUUUGCAUUUCAAUACUGUGCUGUAGCAUUAAGAAGUUGGAGGCGACUUCUACUCCAAAUAUGGAAAGAUUCUGUUUCACUUUGAUAGGAUCUGUAAUCUGUUUCAGAAGAGUUAUUGAUUGUAGUCAGUGGAAUAUUGUACUAACGUGUUCUUGUAAAGCUCAUCAUUGGUUAAAAUGCUGACACUCAACUUCUGUAAACUUAGCCUCGUUCAUAACUGUCAGCUUUAAGAAUGAAAAUACAAGUAGCAAUUUCUUUUCCUGUCCUAAGAAAUAAGUGUUACUUGUUGAAAUGUCUUAGUUGUUAGUUGUUCAGUGGGUGAUUGCUCUAGACAAAGCUGGAAUGGGGUCUAAACUGCCUGACAGUACAACAUUUUCUCAAUAUCUUUUAGUAGCUUUUUGAAAUUGCUAUGGUUUGUUAAAGCUGUUGAACAAUGUAAAUAUUACAGCAUGUUGUUGACUUUUUGCAUAAGGAGAGCAAUAAAGAACCUUUUGUGGGUCUAGGUAAAGUAUAUAGGAGUCUCUUUGCAUAAGAUUAGAUUGUAAAGCAAUGUUAGAGUUUACAUUUUCCAAGUAUAAAGGAAAACAUGUGAGCAUAUAUGUAUAUGUAUGCACAGGUCUAAAGUAUGCAUCCAUGUAUGUAUUUGUAUGUGUGUAUAUAGUUGAGGACUGCUCCAAAAGUAAUGCUGCCUGUCUUAUUGUAUUGGCCCACGAUAUCAGAGGUGGAUGUUGGUGGUAUGGCAGUAGAGGCUGAAUCUUCCUGCCAAUAUUUCAUUACAUUUUGUUGCCAUGUGGCAGAUGGCAGCAGAGGGAUGUCCGACAGAAUGGUGUUGGACAACAGAAGUGUGUAUGAAACAAAGGUGCAGAACUGAACUGCUCCGUGAGGAGGAAAUGGUACCCACUGGCAUUCAUCAGCACUUACUGAAUGAGACCCAACAGUGGAUGUGAGCACAGUGAGGUGGUGGGUGGUGUGUUUCAGCAGCGAUGACAGCAGCAGUGGGGUACCUUUGCUAGUGCAGACUUCUAUGAGUGUGAUAUGUGGUCUCCUGUUUCUUACUGGUGAAAGUGCGUGGCUCCUGGUGGUGACUGUGCUGAAAAACAGUGUUUUGUAGCUGAGCAUUUGCUCUAUCAAACAGAUAUUGUGUAGUUUGUAUCUGUUAUAGGUUCCAUGGAAAUAAAUAGGAGGCAUUACUUUCAGAGCAGCUUAUAACACACCUGUAUUUGUUUUUAUUUCAGUUUUUUUUCCAAAUCUGCUAUGGCUAGAGAAUGUGAUGACUUUUUUCACUGAUUUGAAAUCAGAAGUUGUCCUAACACGGUUGAUCAGCAUAGUUCCUCCUUCUCAUUAUAGAACUGACUACCCUGCAAUGAUGAUUUAUUUUAUUCAUAAUUUACUGUCAACGUAAAUACACUUGAGAUAUCUGCAAUGACAUACUGUUUCAAGAAGCACAUGUCUUUGUAGUAUUCAUUUCUGUCAUUAACAAAACAUUGUAAUGAUUUAACUGAGCUACCUCAGUAACUAAGAUGUGCCUCUGUUGUCGUUAAGAUUGCUUGCUGAAGCUUUACUGCUUUAAGCACCAUUAGAAGUUUAAAGCCUAAUUAAGCAUGCUUUCAGUUCCUCAUGCUGUAUGUUGCAGUAGUUAAGUAGUAACUUUCUUGUAUUAGUAUUGACCUUAGGUAGUAUUAGGUAGAUGAAAUUCAUCUCACUUGACAAAAAACCCUCUUUUUGGUCUAGUUUGUUCAUAUACAUAGACAUCUGUGCUGAUGCUAAGGAAUUAAACUUUUUGAUCUGAACUUCUUCAGACAUGAAACUGUCCAGAGUUUUAGAGAUCAGUAAGAAACAAAGUACAGUCACUAAAUGUUUUGGAUGUUGGCAGUGCUGAGCUUUUUAGUUCUGCAACUGGAAGAAAAAUAAAGUUUUUAUUCCAAGUUAGUGUUUUUAAUGUCUGUUUUUCUAUGGUGUGUAAAAUACUUUUAUAUAGCCAGGGCCUCUGUAGUAAACUUUUCUAUUUCUGGAUUAAUAGAUCAUGGUGUAGCACAGGGAAUUUGUUCUCUGUUGAAAGAAAAAUAGCAAGAAUCACAUUAAACAAACCUUCACUGAGAUAAAGUCAUUAUUAAGGUGAUGAGUUGUUUUUGGAGGAAGUAGUUUUCCACUGUCCUUCAGGGAGUUGUUUAUAAAGUCAGUGAGUCAAUGUAUUGUGUGAGGUUGAUGUUCCCUUAAAAACAAAGGGUAAAGUUUUCUUAGUUCCUGAAAUAGUAACUUUCCCCAGUUGUCACAAAUUGCUGUCUUCUGUGACACACGUGGUUAAAGCUGUGCUUACUAGAAAGCUUCUCUAAAGAGACUGCAUUUAGAAGAGACUAUUCAGAGCAGCUUCUCUUAAAACAUGAGAUACUACUUCCUUCCCUGUAGAUUCAUUGAGAAUCUUCCUAGUGAAGUUAACUUUUGGCUGAGUUUUUACUACUUUGGGUUCAAAGCCAAACCUUGCUGUACUUGGAGAGAUGUGUAUUUUGGUGGUGCUUAUUCAUCUGUAGGUAGACACCCAGACUCUGGUUUUACUAACGUGAGUAAGUGAGCAGCGCGCUCACUUGUAUGGCCAGAAUGGAGGUGUCUUCAAGCUGAUAUUCCUCGUGUGCCUUCUGAAGUCGUUUUGAAGGAUGAAGACAAUUCUGUUUGUCUGCAUAGGAUUUUUUCUCCUUUUCAUGAAGAGCAGUAUAGAAGGUAUUUUAAUACCUCAUGGUAGGUUUGCUAAGGAGUGUGUGGUGUGGAGACUCACUUUGUUACGAGCGUUCAAGGAGAGCUGAUGCUUAUUAGACCUCUGAUUCAGUAAAGCAGUGUUAGUGGGAAGUGAACUUGCUGCUUGUGGUAUACAGCCGUGGCACUCAUCUCAUUAACGUUGCAGUUGUGAAUAUCUGUACAGCAGCUUCCUACCACAUGUGAAAAAUAGUAAUAGGAGGCAAAGUGUUACAGUGAUAUAAUGAUAUCACUAUAUGUGAUAGUUAAUUUUUCUGUUUUUGACGUCUGCCAGAUACUUUAAUUUUUCUCAAUAGCUUAUUCUAACCUAGUAAUGCUGGCAAAUGACUUCGUUCUUCUAUUUGGAAAAACUGUUUUGCUCUGGGAUAGAUGCUCACCUGAGUUACUGAGCAGAAUGCUGUGCAGGUGGGCUCGGCUGCCUGAAAUUAGUUUAACAGUGCUUAAGUAUGCUUUCCUGUGACUCUUACUUAAUGGUACCUGCUGCCCAGGUUUAGAUUGGGGUAGAGCUAAUUUACUUCAUGGUAGCUGAUAUGAUGCAAGCGUUUGUUUCCUGUUUCCUGCUCUGUAGAUUCCAGGAGGAUCUGGAACUCCAGAACUGGUAGCAGUAUGGGCCUGGUUCAAAGCUAGUCUUUGGGCUGAACAAAAUGCUGCCCUAGAAUUUUCUUGACUGUGGAAAGUAGCUGAGAAACUAGGAGUGGAAAGAAUAGUAAUAAGCUGGCCCUGAUGAGUCCUGACAGCAUGAGCUGUGCAGUCAGGUGUCCUUGUGGUGUAUCCCUGGUUCUGUUAAUACGAUAUAGAGAUGGAUGAGCUGAUUGCAUGGGGAACAAUGUCUUUGUUAGCAGGAUUUGCUAGCAUGGACUGUGCUGAUGAAAGCAGCUGUAGCUUUUGGACCCAAACUGUCUUUGAAAUCUGUGUACUGACAGUAUAAAAUUCCUUUAACCUACAGAGAUUAAUGAAUAAUAUUGACAUUAGAAAUGCUGAACUACUAAACAAAGCUAUAACUUGCUUACAUAAGGGAACUGUUUCCAAAUCUUUCUUCCUGUGGUGAGUGUUAUGUUUCGGAACAUAGUUCUGGUGUAUAGUAAUCUGUAGUUAUUUGCACUGUCAGCAUUACAUUGGGUGCACAAUGUGAUAUUUUGUUGGGGGGAGGGAGAGAUCUAAUUUUGUGUUUACCAGACUGCUGAAAGGUAAUAUCUCAUUAGAGCUUUUUAAACAAGUCUGACACAGGUAGUCUUCCCAUGCAGUGGGUUGUCUGGGUCUAAACAAGAAGUGCUUUGUUGCUGUAGGUCUAAUAGUGUGUAUUUUCUACUUAAAGUAUAGCUUCUCCCAGCAGAAGUACGUCUCUUACUAUAAUUUAUCCUUGCCAUGUUGCCUUUUACUGCAUAGCAGGGCCUAACUGAAUCUGUACGAUUCCUAACUAGCAUGGCUAGGCUAACAGGAAUUUAAGUGUGGUGGCUCAAUGUGUUGUGUAAGCAGAAGGCCUUUGUUUCUCCCAUAUCUGCCUUCCCACACACACAGGAGAUCUAUAUCAGUGAAAUAGUUAUGACAUGGUGAAAUGUUUGGUGGUUGAAAUACAUAGCACUAAAACAGAAGUAGCUGAACUCUGAAAUUCUCAGGCUUUCUGCAGAAUCGAGUGGAUACAGCUGUUUUCUCUGUGAGCAGUUUUUAGUACAUCUUUCCCUCCCCACCACAUGAAUCUAUAGUUAUCCUCCCAUCACCACCAAAUGCAACUAUCCAAACCUAGAAGCAGAUAAAUUGGUAUGCUUUGAGCCCUGUCUGGAACUCCUAAAAGUAAGAAAUAAAGUAGGAGGCUGGGUUUUAAACCAGAAGCCUUUCUGGUCAGCUUGGUUUUGCGAAAUACCAGAUACACAGUGAGUAGUGUCAGUUCUUUAGUCCGCUGUGCAGAAGCUGAAAACAAAGGCAGUCCCUCAAACUGUAGGACUAUAAAAGGUGUAUAGGAAAGAAGGUGGGUAAAUGCAUUUAUUCUAGGAAAGAGUUUAUCCCUGAAAUAGAAAAGUUGUUGAGUAUAGACACAAAGAAACAAAACCAAUGGAUUGUAGAGUUCUUGGAGUUGGAAAGGACCAUACUGUAUAUGCAUUUGGCCCAGUUUUUCCUUUUUGUGAUAAGUUAUGUCAGCUUGCAGUUUCUGCCUUUCUACCUCCAGGGUUUUUAUCUAGGUCAGGGUGAGUAGGUUGAAGCUGGUUGUGAUUCUCUUUUCCUUAUUGCUGCAUGCUGUACUUGCUGAUCUAAUUCUGCACUUUCCAGUAUCUAGUUGCCAAAUGUCUAAUGACAUCCCUUACAGGUCUGGCAGAGAACAGAUGCUGUUCUUCCCAAACCAGUUCUCUUAUGAUAUUCACUGUGAAGUAGUAGAGGCAAGAAAAACUUCAAGUAUUCCAUCUGUCAACCUUUCAACAAACUGGACUUUCACAUGCUGCAUGCACUUACUCAUUGUGACUUCAGCAUGUCUUUUUUUCUUGCUGCAUUGGUGACCCAGUGGGACAUGAACUAAUUAUACUUUUCAGGGACAGUGGACAAUGAUUAUGGAUUGUUGGAUAUGUUCCACUGUUUCUAGGGGAUCCCAUGUAACUUGAAUGUUUACUCUUGGCUCUCACUUGCCAGACUCUUCUCAUCUAAGAAGAGCAUAUUGUUUAAUAGAGCUUUGGUUAUCAAAAGGAGGAGUAUAGCACAGCUUUUAGUGGAUGUACAGAGCUUUUGAGCAGAAGCUUUAAUUUGUGCUGCUGUUCUGAAAAGAACAAUAUUACUGCUAAAUGGCUGAACCAGGGCUAGCUCGAGAAAAUGAAUAAGUAGAAGGAUUUCAGGAAGCCUUAGCAUUUCAGAUCUGGUACCUCAAUAGAGAAGUUGUGCAACUUUGUGAUGGAUUUGGUUACUUCAUAUACUACAGUCUGAGAAAGAAAAGAGGAGGUAAUUCUGUGAGAAUAGAGCUUAAGAUGUAUCUUGAAACUUGGGCAGUAGCAUUUUCCUAUUUAGUCCUUCAGUGCAGAUUCAGGUAUGAGGUAGUUGGGUGUUUAUUUAAAAAAUACAUGAUCUUCAAGGAAUUAGUUUGAUAUCCCAAAGCAUAUAAAUAAUUUGUUUUUUUAAUAUUCUCUCUUUUUUUCUUAUAGUAAGUUAAUAUUCAAAAUCUUUAACAGAACAUCUAAACCCGUAAAGCAUGUUUUUGAGAAGCUUUCUGUGCCCUCUGCCAUCUUUUUGCACCUAUUCUUUUUUUUUUUCCAUGUGCUGGAGGUAAUGCCUGAGCACAAGUCAGCACCUGCUGUGAGUGUCUGUGUCCUAAUUUGUCCAGAUGUCCUGAGGCAACUCAGGCCAGACGGAACAUAGAACUGGAGCUCAUACUGGAGUGUUCUCAAGUGAAGUUGCUGAUCUGAUUUUCUGCUUUUUUUUUUUUUUUAAUGAUUAAUCUUGUAGUAUCUCAAGUGCUGUCAAAUUCAUGUAAAGAUUUAAAAAACUGGUAAGUGGGGAGUGAUAGGAUACCCUAGAUGUAAGUGCUGAAUACCCCACCACAGCUAAACUGCAAAUAAUGUAACAUUAAUUUUAAAAGGUACACUUCCUUGAGCUUUCCUAUAAGACCAAUACUUAAAUAGCUUAGAAACAGUAUAAUCUGGUCAAUAAAACUGCAUUGCACCGGCUAUUGUAUUAGUAACUUCUUAGCUUAAUAUGAUAGAAAGGUGACUAUUUCAAAUUACAGCAUUAAUAAGUUCUGCCUCUGGCUACAAGUAAUGUUUCCUUGUAAGAUGAAAUCAAACUUGGAAAUUAUAACAAUACUGUGCAGCUUUCCGCUUUUUUUUUUGGUAGAUAGCUGACCAUGGUCUCUUACAGCUUGCUUGAAGCAUAAUCAAUGUGUUAUUGUGGAUCCCUGUCAAGUCAGAUGAUAGUAACAAAAGUAUAGCUAGAAAGAGCAUACAGGUCACUAGCAAGCAAGCAAAGACAACGGGCCUUUUAUUGUGCUCGCUCCCAAUGGCUGCUGAUGUUCAAAGCGUUGGGUGGUACUUCAUACAGAAAUAGACAUAACUGUGUCUUUUAUUAGUUUCUCAUGUGAUACUAAAGCUUUAUAAAAAAAAAAAAAAAGGCUUUCUAAAAAGACUCAUUUGUAUUUAAGAUUUCCAGCCCAUUUUAUUUACUCUCUACAAAUCCUUUAUAUAAAGAAACUAAGGUGUGUGAAAGUUCAACGGUAGUAGAAAUAUUAGUGAAAACUGUUGAAUAAAUGAGCAUUGCUUGCUGAA